UAUAUUGCUAACCAAUUUUUAGUCAAUAUGAAGGCAUUCACCGGACACAACAGCCCUGCAGGACCUUUCCAUCUCCAGCGCCCAUCGUGUAGAAGUGCCAGAUGGACUAGCGACAAUGAACACUUGCAUUAAACAAAGUUGCAGGUUGUCAGGUUGAAGGCCAAGGGAAAUCUGCUCAGGAUUGUAUCAAUCAGAUAACCUUUUUGACCACAAGAUUGAUAGUGUUGAUAUCUUAUUAUUUUUACUAUUGGUGAUUGAUGGUGGAACUGACUUGUUCCACCCAGUCUGCAAAU